GCGCUCAGAGGCCUCCUCCGCGGGUCCUCCCGCUUCAGGCCGCCACGCGGUUGCCGUGGCAACAGACGCCAGCCUCGUCGCCAAGAGGCGGGCAGCAGCAGCAGGGCCUCAACAGAAGGGAAAGAAAGGGCGGGCCAGUCCAGAGGACAUGAUCGCUCCCUCCUCCUCCCGCCCUUUCUCGCACGCAGCAGGAAUCCUCCACGCCGAAAACGGGGCGGGCAUGCCAGGCCAGCCAGCCUUAGUUUGGACUACGUACUGCUGCAUAGGCAACAGGAGCAACAGCUGCUGCCCGCUCUGGCUUCUUUGUCCUAGCCCGCCUUUGCGCUCCGUGUUGCAGUCAGCUCCGUCUCUUUCCUUCUGUUCUCUGCUUUGUGCUCCAACUAAUGCUGGAAAUAAAAAAGGUGUAACUUCUAGAGACUUUAUUUUCUAAGCAACGGUCCAUGUUGCCUCUUUGCCCCCAGUAGCGCCCGGCCGGCUGCGUAUGCGCGCGCCCGCCCAACAGUGAGGCUAAAUAAACCUGUGUCUGCGUAACUCCUCCUGCACGCUCCAUGAUCUUAUACACCGCAGGUUUGGGAGGUCUUCUGCCCCUGUGCUGCCCUGGCUCGCUGCUUAAGCCCGCCUGCCCCUUUUUGUCAUCGAACCUGAUGAAGAGUUCUAGGGCACCCGAAAGCCUGCGCGGCUCACAACCUUGCGUUAUUUUCGUUGGUCCUAAACAGAUCUGUAUGGGGAAGAAAUGGUAGACAAGCACCAUCAUUGAAGGAUACAUGUCGAUUACUGAUCUUCCCAUCAACAACUGACUGUGCCUAUAUUGACUACACUGCCAGAGCUGAUUCCAUUUGGUGCAAAGAUGAAUACAGAGAGUUUAACAGUAAUGAUUAAGCAUGCCGAAGCAAGGCAAUCCAGGCACCUUUGAAAAUAAACAGUAAUCCAGGUAGGUUUAAGAGUCUAAGGAAUGCUGAUGAUUGAAUCAACUGACUGUGAUUCAAGUCCAAAGUGAAAACCGUGAGCUCACGUUAUGUUGCUAGGUAAGAAUGAAAGACUCUGUAGGUGGUGCAGUUUGUAGCUUAGGUAAACAUCUAACUGUUUCAGAUAAAAGCAUAAUGAACUUUCAUGUACAGUGACUUGA